rnacentral:rRNA from 1 species
AUUGAACGCUGGCGGCAGGCCUAACACAUGCAAGUCGAGCGGCAGCGGGAAAGUAGCUUGCUACUUCUGCCGGCGAGCGGCGGACGGGUGAGUAAUGCCUGGGAAAUUGCCCAGUCGAGGGGGAUAACAGUUGGAAACGACUGCUAAUACCGCAUACGCCCUACGGGGGAAAGCAGGGGACCUUCGGGCCUUGCGCGAUUGGAUAUGCCCGGGUGGGAUUAGCUAGUUGGUGAGGUAAUGGCUCACCAAGGCGACGAUCCCUAGCGUGGUCUGAGAGGAUGAUCAGCCACACUGGAACUGAGACACGUUCCAGACUCCUACGGGAGGCAGCAGUGGGGAAUAUUGCACAAUGGGGGAAACCCUGAUGCAGCCAUGCCGCGUGUGUGAAGAAGGCCUUCGGGUUGUAAAGCACUUUCAGCGAGGAGGAAAGGUUGAUGCCUAAUACGUAUCAACUGUGACGUUACUCGCAGAAGAAGCACCGGCUAACUCCGUGCCAGCCGCCGCAGUAAUAC